AUUGAACGCUGGCGGCAGGCCUAACACAUGCAAGUCGAGCGAACGGCGGACGGGUGAGUAAUGUAUGGGGAUCUGCCCGAUAGAGGGGGAUAACGGCUGGAAACGUUGGCUAAUACCGCAUACGAUCGGAUGAGACGAUAUGGGAUUAGCUAGUAGGGGGGGUAAAGGCUCACCUAGGCGACGAUCUCUAGCUGGUCUGAGAGGAUGAUCAGCCACACUGGGACUGAGACACGGCCCAGACUCCUACGGGAGGCAGCAGUGGGGAAUAUUGGACAAUGGGCGCAAGCCUGAUGCAGCCAUGCCGCGUGUAUGAAGAAGGCCUUAGGGUUGUAAAGUACUUUCAGCGGGGAGGCGUUACCCGCAGAAGAAGCACCGGCUAACUCCGUGCCAGCAGCCGCGGUAAUAC
rnacentral:rRNA from 1 species